UUGAGUAACAGAUGAAUUCGAUUCUAUGUUAUUUUUCUUUUAGCCUUCGUAUGUUUGCUUAUGAUAAAGUUGAUUGGUUUGUAGUAUUUUUUAUAUUUUUAUUUGACAUCAGAAGAAAGUAAAAAUAAGAAAUUUCGUAACAUUGAUGAUGGUGAAAUUGGAUUGAAGUCGCCGGCAGAUUACGUCAUUAUGUCAAAAUGGAAAACACAAACAAUGGAAAAUGGAUAUUCAUGCUGCCGGCGUUUAAUUAAGAUGUAUGACUUGCAAUACCGUCUGAUGAACUUAUUAUCAUUGAACUAUAAACUAAUAACACGCAGAAUGAUAAGUAUAAUCACGACCGGCCUGCUGUUACAUUUUUGUACCAAAAAAUCGUUCAUUAUGCCAUAGCUACAUCAUUUUGUCUGUGUGACCCUAUCAGAUAUGAACAAUACAAUACAUAACAUGAUAUAUACAUUUAUACAUUCUUUUAUCAUCACUAGUACAACAACUGCAGGUAGUAAGUAUGUGGUAGUCAAAAUAGAUGUGAAAAAAUGAAUACAAAGACCACGAUGAAUGGUAUUUUUUGAAUACACGCAUCCAUCCGCUGGUUACAGAUCGUUAUCUCAGUUAAUCUGAUAACCCAAUGAGGAUGUGAGAUAUGUGUAGAGUAUAAUAAGCAUAUACCAAAAUAUGUUCAUGUGUUAUAUGAGCAGCUUUUUACAAUGCAAGGACAAAAUCGACACAUGUGUAUACAUUAUUUUUUUAAAGAUAUGCACUUUCUAUUAAGCAUAUGAAUUCACAUUAUAUUAUAUACAUAAUUAUAAUUAGUAUACAUAAUAAACCACAUGGACAAUUUUUUUUAAAGAUAUGACUUAAAUAAAAUUAUUAAAUGUAGUUAAAAGCCCAUGAUGAU